AUUGAACGCUAGCGGCAUGCCUUACACAUGCAAGUCGAACGGCAGCACGGGGGCAACCCUGGUGGCGAGUGGCGAACGGGUGAGUAAUGCAUCGGAACGUGCCCAUCGAUGGGGGAUAACUGCGCGAAAGCGUUGCUAAUACCGCAUACGACCUACGGGUGAAAGCAGGGGACCGCAAGGCCUUGCGUCGAUGGAGCGGCCGAUGCCGGAUUAGCUAGUUGGUGAGGUAAAGCUCACCAAGGCGACGAUCCGUAGCUGGUCUGAGAGGACGACCCAGCCACGACUGGGACUGAGACACGGCCCAGACUCCUACGGGAGGCAGCAGUGGGGAAUCUUGGACAAUGGGCGAAAGCCUGAUCCAGCAAUGCCGCGUGUGGGAAGAAGGCCUUCGGGUUGUAAACCACUUUUGGCGGGAAAGAAAUGGUCUGUGCUAAUACCACGGAUUGAUGACGGUACCCGCAGAAUAAGCACCGGCUAACUACGUG
rnacentral:rRNA from 1 species